rnacentral:rRNA from 1 species
UACGUAGGGACCAAGCGUUGUUCGGAUUUACUGGGCGAAAGGGCGCGUAGGCGGCUUGUCAAGUCACUUGUGAAAUCUCUGGGCUUAACCCAGAACGGCCAAGUGAAACUGACAUGCUAGAGUGCAGAAGGGGCAAUCGGAAUUCUUGGUGUAGCGGUGAAAUGCGUAGAUAUCAAGAGGAACACCUGAGGUGAAGACGGGUUGCUGGGCUGACACUGACGUGAGGCGCGAAAGCCAGGGGAGCAAACGGG